GAUGAAGAACGCAGCGAAAUGCGAUAAGUAAUGUGAAUUGCAGAAUUCAGUGAAUCAUCGAAUCUUUGAACGCACAUUGCGCCCUCUGGUAUUCCGGGGGGCAUGCCUGUUCGAGCGUCAUUAUAACCACUCAAGCUCUCGCUUGGUAUUGGAGUUCGCGAUCUCGCGGCUCCUAAAAUCAGUGGCGGUACCUGUCGGCUCUACGCGUAGUAAUACUCCUCGCGAUUGAGUCCGGUAGGUUUACUUGCCAGCAACCCCCAAUUUUUACAGGUUGACCUCGGAUCAGGUAGGGAUACCCGCUGAACUUAAGCAUAUCAAUAAGCGGAGGA
rnacentral:misc_RNA from 1 species